rnacentral:rRNA from 1 species
UACGUAGGGGGCAAGCGUUGUCCGGAAUCAUUGGGCGUAAAGAGCGUGUAGGCGGCCAGAUAAGUCCGCUGUGAAAUCUCGAGGCUCAACUUCGAGCUGUCGGUGGAAACUGUCUGGCUAGAGUCCGGAAGAGGAGAAUGGAAUUCCCGGUGUAGCGGUGAAAUGCGUAGAUAUCGGAAGGAACAUCAGUGGCGAAGGCGACUUCCUGGACCAAUACUGACGCUCAGGUGCGAAAGCGUGGGGAGCAAACAGGGAGUU